rnacentral:rRNA from 1 species
UUCUACGGAAGGACAACGGCAGGUGGGCAGUUCGGCUGGGGCGGCACCCCCUUGAAAAGAUAUCGAGGGGGCCCUAAGGUUGGCUCAACCGGGUCAGAACUCCGGUGUUGAGGGCAAGGCCAAAAGCCAGCCUGACAGGAAGUUUAAACGCAGAACUUUCUGCCACGAAAGUGUGGCCUAGCGAUCAUUCAAGUCCUCACUGUUGGGGGCUGGAUGUGACAGAAAAGUUACCCCAGGGGUAACAGGCUCGUCGCGGGCGAGAGCUCCAAUCGACCCCGCGGUUUGGUACCUCGGCCCAUGUGGGCCUUGGGGCAAGAUCACGGUAACGCGAUUGAAGUAUCGGCUUAUAUCGGCGAAACCCGACCUCCUUUAUCCAGGACCGCGGCAACGCGGCUUUGGGAAGAGCGGGAGAGGGUAACGCCGAGGGAAGUCCCUACGGGACUUCGCACUCCGAUUAUGUGGAAGAAUUAACGGAAAUACCAGCGAAUAUUCAGCUUGAAGGUUUGCUAUUCCUUCGAAGAACGACCGGCGUCAGAACCGCCACAAAGACGGCCACGAAGAUUCCCGUGAGACCAGCGGAGGUCUCGGGAUUGGCCUCGUUCACGAACACAGACACACCGUAAUCAACAACGAACGCAACUACACCGGCUACAAUCGCGUAAGCGAUAAUAUUCAGGGCUUUCAAACGACUACCCGUGUGCGGUGGUCCAGCAACAACAACUCUUAAGCUUGCAAUUCGGGCAAUCAUUCUCCGACUCCGAGACCCGACAUUCGUUCGGGGAACAACCACAAUCUGCGCAGCGCAAUUCGAUGCGAUGCAUGGAGGCCAUCCAAUCGCUCCAGGAACCAAAGUUCCUUGGGCUUAAAUAACAUUGCAGACACCAAAACAUCGUCAUGUGGUUCAUCCGGCUCGUGAAGCUGAAGAAUCCUCCCAGCAAAGACAUGACCGAAUGGCUGAACAAGGUGAGGGCUGAAGCAGAGAAGUGGGGCGUCAAGUUCCACCAGACCUACUUCACCCUCGGAUCGUACGACGUUGUCACCAUUCUAGAGGCUCCUGACGAGAAGACGGCCCUUAGGCUCUCUCUGAAACUGCAAGAGGGCACCAAGAGCGCCGAGACACUCGUCGCGAUUUCUCGCGAAGAAGUCAACAGCUGGAACAUGUAGAACGCGCAAGCGUUUCCAACCGUUUUUCUUUCCACGUAUCGGCCGACUUCCCGUAUGUGACCCCGUAACGACUGAGCGCGCAGAAAGCGCAAUGAGAUGGCUCGAAGCGGCUAGCUCGAAAAUCCCUUCGGGGACGCGCCACGUUCGACGUGGUGCGACAUAAACUCGGGUGUGCCAAUUAGAAACUUCGAACUAUCAUACGCCGACCCCUCCUUGUGCGGGAGGGUGAAGACAUAGUCUGACCCCAACAGUAAUGUUGGAUAAGGUUGCGAUGUCGGCUCUUCCCAUCCUGGUCCUGCAGCAGGGGCCAAGGGUGGGGCUGCUCGCCCAUUAAAGGGGAACGUGAGCUGGGUUUAGACCGUCGUGAGACAGGUCGGCCUCUACCUGAUGGAAGCGGUGGUUCACUGAGGGGAAGCUCUGCUCAGUACGAGAGGAACAGCGGAGCGCAGCCUCUGGCGUACCGGUUGUCUGAAAAGGCAUCGCCGGGCAGCUAAGCUGUUGUGGAUAACCGCUGAAAGCAUCUAAGCGGGAAGCCACUCCCGAGAAGAGUGAACCUUUCACUUUGCACCUCUCCCGCAAGGGGGAUGUGUGGGUGGAGAAGGGCGGCGAUAGAAGAUCGCGUUGAAGGGGUGGGGGUGUACGCUGGAAGCUCGCAAGAGCGACCAGUUCAGCCCGACCACUACCUAAUGCCCAACGCGUGGAUGAU